ensembl:lncRNA
UGACUUUGUAAAAAUAGAGAUUUAUUAAAGCAAAGCAGAAGUUGUAGUACAGGGCGAGUUCUCUGAAUGAAAGGGGUUUGCCGUGUGCUGUUUAAGACACAGUCAGGCACAGAAGGCACUUUCCACACUCAUGUAUGAGGUUACGGUCCGAAUGGAGGAACUCGAGGUAAAGGAUACAGACUAGCAACAAGUCAUUUUCACACACAAUCAGAGAAAUAUAUAAAACAGUAUUUUUGAAACAACAUUUUAAAACUAAUUUCCAAUUCCACAACCUGAACUUAAAGCAAAGAACCCUUUUACAAUGAAUUUAGUCCUAGAGGUCAACAUACAUCCACACACGGCCAACGAUCCUUCACCAAAUAAACCCAAACAGAAUCAGUUUCCCAACCGCGCUCAAAGUCAUGAUCGUGAAUCGAAAGUUGAAGCCGCGCCAUCCGACAUGACAGCAGGCGGUCCCGACCAACAGACAGCAGCGACGCCAGCUCACCAACAACCACGACGAUCGUACAGAGCUACGCCUGGUCAACAGCACCGGGGGAGGCCGGGUCAUCCGGCAGCAAGGAGUUGUGGGGUGGGAGGCUCCUCCGACACGCACCCCAGGCGUCUCCUCAUCCGGGGGAUAACCCUGGCUCUGGUGCACGCCUUCUUCAGCCACAGCACCACCACCAUCGUGAGCGCCACAGACACCGCCACCAUGGCCUGGGCGCAGACGCUGAACACCGUCAUCCAACUCUCGACCCUGGGCGGCGGCAAGCCGAUCUCCCUCAUCCUCUCGAGGAUGGCGGUCAUGCUCUUGUCGUCGUCGCGGGGGCGGUCCCUGGGGGGGCACUGGCGCUGGAGGUUAAUAGCUUGUGUGGCGCCCUUCAGGGCGAACAGGAGUCCGCCCGUGAUGACCAGAACCGUGACCAGCAUGGCUAUCAUGCCGGCCGCCGUCCAACCCGGGUGGCACUUCUUGGGGUCCAUUGUGGGCCGAGGUUCAGGUGAAGGCUGGGGUCAAAUGGAAAUGGUCAAAGACAGUGACACACCUUGAAAUUUCUACCUUUCUAUUCUUGGACAAAUAACGCUUUUUCCCCCAGCCUAUAAUUAACUAAAUUAAUUAUAGUUGCAUCAGUUUUUUUUUAUUAAUU